rnacentral:lncRNA from 1 species
CUCCCCAAAAAUUAAAAAAAAAAAAUCCCUGAAAAUCACCCCAAAAACCACCCGAAACAAGCCCCAAAAAUCCCCAAAAUCUGCCCCAAAAUUACCCAAAAAAUCACCAAAAAAAUCCCCAAAAUCUGCCCCAAAAAAUCCCCCAAAUCGUCGCAAAACCGCCGCAAAGCGCGGCUGCCGUAAAGCUGCCGUAAAGCGCGGCUGCCGCACAGACACUUCCGGCACACGGCUGCUGUCAAUCACUUUAUUGCUCUCUCUGCCGCACGGCGCAUGCGCGCAGCAGCCGCCCCGCCCCUUUCACCGCCAGUCCCCAGCGGGACACGCCCCCCGUACCGCAGCCCCGCCCACUCCUGCCGCCCCGCCCCCAUCCCCAGCUGCUGCCCCGCCCACCGCGGCCACGCCCCCUCCGCUUCCCGCCAGCGCGGCCGCUCCUCCCGCGCCCCCCGCCCCCUUUACCGGCCGCAUGGCGGGCCCAGCCGCGCCUCUCCCCGCUUCAGAGCGGCUAAAUGGCGCCCUCCGCCGCUUCCCGCAACCGCGGCCCUCCCGCCGUUCCCUCCCCCGGCCCCGUUCCCGUUCCCGCGGCUCCGCCGCCUCGCGCGCUCCCCGGCCCGCCCGCCGCCAUCUUGGCUCCCUCACACCGCCCCAGCGGCGCAACCGCGCAUGCGCAGGUGCCGCAACACCGCGGCAGCGAUAUCACUCCGCGCCUCACGCGGGCACAGCUCUGCUUUAGCCGCGCGCAUGCGCAGUUUUAUACCGCGGUCCCGCCGCUUUGGGCGCGGCUUUGGCGCGGCCCGGUCCCGGUUCCGAGCCGCUCCGUGCCGCUGUCCCGGCACAACCGGCAUCCCCGUGCCCUGUCACGGCACCUCCGCCGCCACCGGGGCCGUACACGGCAGCACAGCAGCGGAAAACGGCGCCGUGCGUGUAUCCUUCCGCGGCUCUGAGGGAGCUGGGGGAGAUCCGGGCACGGCCGCAUCACCGGGAGAUCCCUCCGCAGCGCGGGUUACAUCGCGCAGCCGAUGCGUGAUAUCCCUCCGCGCUUCCGCCUUCCGCGCUCCCGGCGCCGGCGGGACUACUUUGUGUCACAAACCGCAA